rnacentral:rRNA from 1 species
GGGUUGUGAGGUUAAGCGACUAAGCGUACACGGUGGAUGCCCUGGCAGUCAGAGGCGAUGAAGGGCGUGCUAAUCUGCGAUAAGCGCCGGUAAGGUGAUAUGAACCGUUAUAACCGGCGAUACCCGAAUGGGGAAACCCAGUGUGAUUCGUCACACUAUCAUUAACUGAAUCCAUAGGUUAAUGAGGCGAACCGGGGGAACUGAAACAUCUAAGUACCCCGAGGAAAAGAAAUCAACCGAGAUUCCCCCAGUAGCGGCGAGCGAACGGGGAGGAGCCCAGAGCCUGAAUCAGCAUGUGUGUUAGUGGAAGCGUCUGGAAAGGCGCGCGAUACAGGGUGACAGCCCCGUACACAAAAGCGCAUGUGCUGUGAGCUCGAUGAGUAGGGCGGGACACGUGGUAUCCUGUCUGAAUAUGGGGGGACCAUCCUCCAAGGCUAAAUACUCCUGACUGACCGAUAGUGAACCAGUACCGUGAGGGAAAGGCGAAAAGAACCCCGGCGAGGGGAGUGAAAAAGAACCUGAAAUCGUGUACGUACAAGCAGUGGGAGCACAGGUUUACCUGUGUGACUGCGUACCUUUUGUAUAAUGGGUCAGCGACUUAUAUUCUGUAGCAAGGUUAACCGAAUAGGGGAGCCGGAGGGAAACCGAGUCUUAAUUGGGCGUUAAGUUGCAGGGUAUAGACCCGAAACCCGGUGAUCUAGCCAUGGGCAGGUUGAAGGUUGGGUAACACUAACUGGAGGACCGAACCGACUAAUGUUGAAAAAUUAGCGGAUGACCUGUGGCUGGGGGUGAAAGGCCAAUCAAACCGGGAGAUAGCUGGUUCUCCCCGAAAGCUAUUUAGGUAGCGCCUCGUGAAUUCAUCUCCGGGGGUAGAGCACUGUUUCGGCUAGGGGGCCAUCCCGGCUUACCAACCCGAUGCAAACUGCGAAUACCGGAGAAUGUUAUCACGGGAGACACACGGCGGGUGCUAACGUCCGUCGUGAAGAGGGAAACAACCCAGACCGCCAGCUAAGGUCCCAAAGUCAUGGUUAAGUGGGAAACGAUGUGGGAAGGCCCAGACAGCCAGGAUGUUGGCUUAGAAGCAGCCAUCAUUUAAAGAAAGCGUAAUAGCUCACUGGUCGAGUCGGCCUGCGCGGAAGAUGUAACGGGGCUAAACCAUGCACCGAAGCUGCGGCAGCGACGCUUAUGCGUUGUUGGGUAGGGGAGCGUUCUGUAAGCCUGUGAAGGUGGCCUGUGAGGGUUGCUGGAGGUAUCAGAAGUGCGAAUGCUGACAUAAGUAACGAUAAAGCGGGUGAAAAGCCCGCUCGCCGGAAGACCAAGGGUUCCUGUCCAACGUUAAUCGGGGCAGGGUGAGUCGACCCCUAAGGCGAGGCCGAAAGGCGUAGUCGAUGGGAAACGGGUUAAUAUUCCCGUACUUGGUGUUACUGCGAAGGGGGACGGAGAAGGCUAUGUUGGCCGGGCGACGGUUGCCCCGGUUUAAGCGUGUAGGUGUGUGUUCCAGGUAAAUCCGGUUCACUUUAACACUGAGGCGUGAUGACGAGGCACUACGGUGCUGAAGUAACAAAUGCCCUGCUUCCAGGAAAAGCCUCUAAGCAUCAGGUAACAUCAAAUCGUACCCCAAACCGACACAGGUGGUCAGGUAGAGAAUACCAAGGCGCUUGAGAGAACUCGGGUGAAGGAACUAGGCAAAAUGGUGCCGUAACUUCGGGAGAAGGCACGCUGACACGUAGGUGAAGUGAUUUACUCACGGAGCUGAAGUCAGUCGAAGAUACCAGCUGGCUGCAACUGUUUAUUAAAAACACAGCACUGUGCAAACACGAAAGUGGACGUAUACGGUGUGACGCCUGCCCGGUGCCGGAAGGUUAAUUGAUGGGGUCAGCGCAAGCGAAGCUCCUGAUCGAAGCCCCGGUAAACGGCGGCCGUAACUAUAACGGUCCUAAGGUAGCGAAAUUCCUUGUCGGGUAAGUUCCGACCUGCACGAAUGGCGUAAUGAUGGCCAGGCUGUCUCCACCCGAGACUCAGUGAAAUUGAACUCGCUGUGAAGAUGCAGUGUACCCGCGGCAAGACGGAAAGACCCCGUGAACCUUUACUAUAGCUUGACACUGAACAUUGAGCCUUGAUGUGUAGGAUAGGUGGGAGGCUUUGAAGUGUGGACGCCAGUCUGCAUGGAGCCGACCUUGAAAUACCACCCUUUAAUGUUUGAUGUUCUAACGUGGACCCGUUACCCGGGUUGCGGACAGUGUCUGGUGGGUAGUUUGACUGGGGCGGUCUCCUCCUAAAGAGUAACGGAGGAGCACGAAGGUUGGCUAAUCCUGGUCGGACAUCAGGAGGUUAGUGCAAUGGCAUAAGCCAGCUUGACUGCGAGCGUGACGGCGCGAGCAGGUGCGAAAGCAGGUCAUAGUGAUCCGGUGGUUCUGAAUGGAAGGGCCAUCGCUCAACGGAUAAAAGGUACUCCGGGGAUAACAGGCUGAUACCGCCCAAGAGUUCAUAUCGACGGCGGUGUUUGGCACCUCGAUGUCGGCUCAUCACAUCCUGGGGCUGAAGUAGGUCCCAAGGGUAUGGCUGUUCGCCAUUUAAAGUGGUACGCGAGCUGGGUUUAGAACGUCGUGAGACAGUUCGGUCCCUAUCUGCCGUGGGCGCUGGAGAACUGAGGGGGGCUGCUCCUAGUACGAGAGGACCGGAGUGGACGCAUCACUGGUGUUCGGGUUGUCAUGCCAAUGGCACUGCCCGGUAGCUAAAUGCGGAAGAGAUAAGUGCUGAAAGCAUCUAAGCACGAAACUUGCCCCGAGAUGAGUUCUCCCUGAGACUUAAAGUCUCCUGAAGGAACGUUGAAGACGACGACGUUGAUAGGCCGGGUGUGUAAGCGCAGCGAUGCGUUGAGCUAACCGGUACUAAUGAACCGUGAGGCUUAACCCUACAACGCCGAAG